GGCUCCUUCCCUUUUCUUUCUCCUUCCCUGUUUGUGAAAACAAAACACUUAGAAGAGUUUAAGAUGAGGGAAAGGAGAGUCACCCACCCGGUUCGCCAGUGUCCUGGUCUUCUCCACUUGUUAGAGCAGCUUUAGUUCUGGUCUUGGAGGACAGUUUGCAGUCAAUUCUUUGAUUGGAGAAAUGCCUUGCCUUGCACUUUACCAGGCUUUCCUGGUGAGCAAAUAAAUCCCUGAGGACAGGAGUAACAAUAAAGUCUACAAGACGCUGUGAUCAUGUCACUCUUCUGUUCAAACCCCUGUGAUGACUCCCCAUUUCAUUCAGAGUUAAAGUCAAAGUCCUUACAGCGGGAUGCAUGUGUGCUAUCAUAGACUGACGUGAAGAUGGACAGCCAUAUGCUCAGGCCUGCCCAUGAAAAACCCAAGAGGAUGAAACAGAGAACUCCCAGGCCUUGCCCUGUAGUCACAGAGAACGGGAGACUGCCUGACUGUGGGCAUCACAAGAAUUUCAAGGCCCAGAACUUGGAAGUUAGGCCUGAAGGGAAUGGCUCACAGCAUCUCAGAGUGAUCACCUUCUACGGUAGGCAAAGUUGUUUCUGAGCUGAUGUAAUUGGAACUAUAGUAGCAGGGAGUCUGUCAUUCUAUCCUCCUUUGACUUGGGGGAGAUCCUGCUCUGCAGAAUUGUCAAGAAAUGCGAACUUUGGGUGCACUCUGAAAGAUAUAAGUGCAGCAGUGGGAAGCCACAUUCACCCUCCUACAUCUGUAUCUUCUUUAUAUCCUUUGCUACUUGUUAGCUCAUCCAGAACUAUACCAAAGUAAUAUCAACUUGAAUGGAAGCCAAGACUUUCUUCUCUCCAGUCCCCAAACCCAGACCAAAUUCCGUGGUCUAGUUUUCAGCUUACAUUAUAUGAUCCAGCUCCAUUCUUACAGUAAGCACAUUCAAUAAAAGACGACAAAUAAUUAAAAUGCAAAAAAGAUGACGAUUUGUGCACAGUGAGAAUUAUUUUAAGAGAAGCCACAGGAAUAUGCUCCUGCCCUCAAAGAGCUGAUUUUCUAGUGAGGGGAACAAAAAGUAUAAAAACUAUUCCUGUCAAAAGCAAUGUCAAGGGGCCGGCCCGGUGGUG
rnacentral:lncRNA from 1 species